rnacentral:rRNA from 1 species
UACGUAGGGUGCAAGCGUUGUCCGGAAUUAUUGGGCGUAAAGAGCUCGUAGGCGGUCUGUCGCGUCGAAUGUGAAAACCCGGGGCUCAACCCCGGGCCUGCAUUCGAUACGGGCAGACUAGAGUUCGGCAGGGGAGACUGGAAUUCCUGGUGUAGCGGUGGAAUGCGCAGAUAUCAGGAGGAACACCGGUGGCGAAGGCGGGUCUCUGGGCCGAUACUGACACUGAGAAGCGAAAGCGUGGGGAGCGAACAGG